rnacentral:lncRNA from 1 species
AGCAAGUUGAGAGCACUCUCCCCAGGCCUACGGCAUUGUGUGGAAGGCAGUGGACCAGAGGACUGGUGAGGUAGUGGCCAUCAAGAAAAUCUUCGAUGCCUUUAGAGAUAAGACAGAUGCCCAGGUGAGUGGGGGGUGUCUGGAAGCAUGAGUGGUACUGGGGCUGUCGGAAGGUUUGGGGCCCCGGUGUUUCUGGCGCAGGGGGUGUUUGGGUGACAAACAGCCCCUUUGGGUAUCUCUGUCUCUUCCAGAGAACAUUCCGGGAAAUCAUGCUCCUCCGGGUGAGUGGCAAGGCUGUGGGGCCUACUUCCCUUACCCAGGGGCAGUUCUUCCCAGAAAAGAGGGGAACUGGCCCCGUCACUCCCAGCGCAAGUCCCUGGCCUGAAAUGACUCUCCACAGGAGUUUGGAGACCACCCCAACGUCAUCCGCCUCCUGGAUGUGAUCCCGGCAGAGAACGACAGGGAC